ensembl:snoRNA
GUGUCUUCAUGGAAACAGCCAAGUUUGAGCAUUAGAAGACCUUCCAGUCUACCUAAUGCAUGACCACUGUAGUUUUGAGA